rnacentral:rRNA from 1 species
UUUAAUGAGAGUUUGAUCCUGGCUCAGGACGAACGCUGGCGGCGUGCCUAAUACAUGCAAGUAGAACGCUGAGGUUUGGUGUUUACACUAGACUGAUGAGUUGCGAACGGGUGAGUAACGCGUAGGUAACCUGCCUCAUAGCGGGGGAUAACUAUUGGAAACGAUAGCUAAUACCGCAUAAGAGUAAUUAACACAUGUUAGUUAUUUAAAAGGAGCAAUUGCUUCACUGUGAGAUGGACCUGCGUUGUAUUAGCUAGUUGGUGAGG